rnacentral:rRNA from 1 species
AUUGAACGCUGGCGGCAGGCCUAACACAUGCCAGUCGCGCGGAGCGGCGGACGGGUGAGUAAUGCCUAGGAAUCCGCCUGGUAGUGGGGGAUAAAGUCCGGAAACGGGCGCUAAUACCGCAUACUAUCAGAUGAGCCUAGGUUGGAUUAGCUAGUUGGUGGGGUAAAGGCCUACCAAGGCGCAGCUCCGUAACUUGGCUGAGAGGAUGGUCAGUCACACUGGAAUUGAGACACGGUCCAGACUCCUACGGGAGGCAGAAUUGGGGAAUAUUGGACAAUGGGCGAAAGCCUGAUCCAGCCAUGCCGCGUGUGUUAAGAAGGUCUUCGGAUUGUAAAGCGCUUUAAGUUGGGAGGCGUUACCAACAGAAUAAGCACCGGCUAACUUCGUGCCAGCAGCCGCGGUAAUAC